AUUGAACGCUGGCGGCAUGCCUUACACAUGCAAGUCGAACGGCAGCACGGGAGCAAUCCUGGUGGCGAGUGACGAACGGGUGAGUUAAUAUAUCGGAACGUGCCCAGUCGUGGGGGAUAACGUAGCGAAAGCUACGCUAAUACCGCAUACGAUCUAUGGAUGAAAGCGGGGGAUCGCAAGACCUCGCGCGAUUGGAGCGGCCGAUAUCAGAUUAGGUAGUUGGUGAGGUAAAGGCUCACCAAGCCGACGAUCUGUAGCUGGUCUGAGAGGACGACCAGCCACACUGGGACUGAGACACGGCCCAGACUCCUACGGGAGGCAGCAGUGGGGAAUUUUGGACAAUGGGCGCAAGCCUGAUCCAGCAAUGCCGCGUGCAGGAUGAAGGCCUUCGGGUUGUAAACUGCUUUUGUACGGAACGAAACGGUGAGCUCUAAUACAGUUUGCUAAUGACGGUACCGUAAGAAUAAGCACCGGCUAACUACGUG
rnacentral:rRNA from 1 species